UAGUCCCAUGUUCCACGUGGACAGAGGCAGAAUCCUGGCUCUGAAUGGCCCUUGCCCUUCUGUAUCAUCCUCCAUCUUUCAAAACCAGAACCAUAGUUACAGAUAGUGGUAGUUCCAGAAUUUCUUAGUUGGAGAGUCUUAUAUGAGCUAGAAACCUUGUCUUGAAAUGGACAUACUGGUUUAAUUUAUAUGCUUAUUUGAUGUGGCUUGAAUGUGGAGUCACUUUGCCAAGGAUGGAGACAACCAUAGACAUUACUUUCUCUGACUUUUCUUUCAAUUGAUGGGGACACCGAGUUCAAAGACGGGAAAUAAAUUGCCCAGGGUCACAACAUAAAUCAGAAGAAGGGUGGUGUUUGAAAACCAAGUCUAGGAUCCUCAGGAAAGCAAACCCUUCCCUAUAAAGCCAUUAAUUAAAUUCAAAGCCUCAACUGGAGGGAAUGUCUGCUGUCUUAGAUGAGUACCCUUUUCCCAAGGCCAACUCAAUACCGAGUGCAUUUCAGCCGUAUUGAUUUUACAGAACACCCUUGUAAUUCUACA
rnacentral:lncRNA from 1 species